UGUAGGUACUUAAGAAAAACAAAAAUACAUGUUAGUAUUGCACAAGUCAAUAAGAAGUUAUUAUUUUUUUAGCUUUAAUGUUAAAUUUCUUUUGUCAUUAAACGUUAAAUCUUUUGUUACUAUUGCAAUUACGUUUAAUUUAUUUUAUUGUAACUAAAAUAAUAAUUCGUUGUUACAAUACUAUUAAUCUAUAUUAAUGUAUAUUUAAACCAAGUUAUCUACAGCAAAGAUAUUGAAUAUAUUGUAAAAAUGAUUUAAUCCGCGUUAUAUUGAGAAAUCUGUAUCUUGAGAAUCACUUCUAAAAUAGUGGUUGAAAAGUAGAUACCUAAGUAAGUCAAAAAAAGUUUUAAUUAAAUUGAACUAGUCUUGUCACUUGUCUACUUUUACAUUCACAUUGUCACUUUAAAAUAUUACUGUUUUAAAAGUAGUAAUUAAUUAUUUUUUCUUGCCUGUUUCUGUAGAUUGCCCAACAAAUGAGAACGAAUUGCAGCAUCUUCACUUUGCAACAUUAUGCAGUUAAUUUUGGACCUGCAAGAGAUAAGGCAUCUGCAGAUUUGGAAACCACUGAAACAAUUUGUCUGAAGUCCUGGAUUUGGUUUGUUUUUCACACUUGCAAACUUUGCAACGUUACAUUCUACAGUUAUAUUAGAUUGCCCAACAAAUUAGAAACAGCAUCUUCAGUUUGCAACAUUAUGCACUUAAUUUUGGACCUGCAAGAGGCAAGCAUCUGCAGAUUUGGAAACCACUGAAACAAAUUGUCUGAAAUCCUGGAUUUGGUUUGCUUUUCACACUUGCAAACUUUGAAACGUUACAGUCUACAAUUAUAUUAGAUUGCCCAACAAAUGAGAUGGAGUUGCAGCAUCUUCACUUUGCAACAUUAUGCAGUUAAUUUUGGACUUGCAAGAGGUAGGCAUCUGCAGAUUUGGAAACCACUGAAACAAAUUGUCUGCAGUCCUGGAUUUGGUUUGCUUUUCACACUUGCAAACUUUGGAACGUUACAGUCUACAGUUAUAUUAGGUGAGAAUACUUGAUAUUAUUAAUUUUGUC